CGGGGGGACGGGGCGGGGCCGCGAGGCCGGCGGCGAGCGGCGGCUGAGGAAAAAAUGUGCCUCAGAGACUGCUGACCUCAUACCCUGCAGAAACCUGCUUUAUCAGAGCUGUGAUGGCCAGUCACCAAGCAGAAGUUCAGAGUUUGAAGCUAGAUAAUGAUUCAGUUAUAGAAGGAGUAAGUGACCAGGUACUGGUGGCAGUUGUGCUCAGUUUCACUUUCAUUGCUGCUCUGGUAUAUACGCUUUUAAGAAAUGAACAUCAGAACAUACACCCAGAAAAUCAAGAGCUAGUGCGAGCUCUUCGUCAGCAGCUUCAGACUGAUCAGCAGGAUGCUUCUGCUGGCGAUCGGCAUCGCUUCUAUACAGAUAUGUCGUGUCCAGUCUGUUUGCAACAGGCUACGUUUCCUAUAGAAACAAACUGUGGACAUCUCUUCUGUGGUUCCUGCAUUAUUGCCUACUGGAGGUAUGGCUCGUGGCUGGGUGCCAUCCGCUGUCCAAUCUGCAGACAGACGGUAACACUAUUCUUACCACUCUUCGGUGAAGAUCAGCAGGGUGCAGCCCAAGUGUUUCAAGAUGUUAAUGAUUACAAUCGAAGAUUUUCAGGACAGCCCAGAUCGAUUAUGGAAAGAAUUAUGGAUCUCCCCACUUUAUUGCGACAUGCUUUCAGGGAGAUGUUUUCUGUAGGGGGCCUCUUCUGGAUGUUUCGCAUCAGGAUAUUCCUCUGCUUGAUUGGAGCCUUGCUGUACCUGGCUUCACCUCUGGAUUUUCUUCCUGAAGCUCUGUUUGGAAUUCUGGGGUUCUUGGAUGAUUUCUUUGUCAUUUUUCUGCUGCUGAUAUAUAUCUCUAUCAUGUACAGAGAAGUGGUAACACAGCGUCUAAAUAGAUGAAAUGAACAAAAGUGACCUAAAAGCCAAGUCAGUUGUGGAAUGUUUUAAAAAGAAAACUAUAAAGUGUCUUUCUACAGCUUCUAGAACUUAAGCAUGUGCAGGAAGAUGAUAGAGCUGAAACCUCAGGUGUCAGUCAUUGAGAGUGCAGAUUGUCCUUCAGUGUCAGUGUUCUAAAUGACAUUAAUUUAAAACUAAAUUCACCUAUUCUUCAUUUGAAAAUUUCAUUUUGGAAAUCCGAGGACAUUUUACAAAUGAACUGGAAAGCUAAACUUUUUUUUGUUGCUGUUUGUUAGAGAUGGGCAAGAAGAGAAAAGGGAAGUAAAGUAAGAUUUGGAAGAAAAGAGUGAGAGAGAAAAUUACAUUUUUGGAAGCAAUGCUAGCUGACUUUUCUUGAGCAUCUUGGUUGAGCUUUUCACCUUGUGUUGGCAUUGCUAAUGUAUGGUGAUGUUUUAGUGGCUACCUCAGUUAAAGCUCUUUAAGGUGUUUUUGAGUAAGGAUGAGAAAUUCAUAAGCUGUUAGGUGCAUUUACAAAGCAGGACAGUAGUUUAGGAUAUUACGUAAGACAGGAUUUCACAGUUUUACUGUAAGUGUUGUUUUUGGUUUUGGGGUUUUCUUUCUCAAGAAAUCUAGCUGAAAACAAACCCCAAAAUUCUUUUUUGAUUGAGUAAAUUUAACACCCUCUUUUCUCCUGGAGUUUAAGUUGUAGGUCUGCUUAGAGAAGAGUGUGAACUGCUCUUGUAGAGUAAUUAGAGUUUCUUCAUGGAGUUUGUUGAUCUACUACUUCAUCCAUACUUUUACCCUAUGAUUAUAAUUUUCCCAUGACUCUCUAAAUCCAGAGUGGAUAUAGAUGCACAUGAAGCUGCUUACUGAUUGGUUGUCUUUGAAUUUCCCAAUUCCAUGCACUACUGUGAAGUUCAUGUGGAAAUUUCCUAUCCCAUCUAAGGGGAUCCUGUGUAUCUGAAAUCAUACACAAACCACAUCUGAAAGACUAUAUGAAGUUUCCCCAUGUUCUUUUUCUUCAGUACAUUUCUGAUAGCCAGAAGGGUUUCACUCAGAGGCUUCUGCUUACUUUUGAGUAUUGACUAACAUUGUAAUCUUAAAUUCAGCACAUUAAAUGCUUGACAGAAUUAUGACUGUUCUUUUCAGCAAUAUGCGUGCUUGCCUGUGGCUGUUCUUUUUUGGUCCUGCAAGCCAAUGAUAAACAGUAUUAUGGCUUGUUCAGGCCUUUUUGUGUAAUGCAAAGAUGCAUCUGCCCUGCAAUGUCUGGCCACUGCUCCUUUCCACAAAUCUGAAAUAGCUAUAAGUUAGCUGUCUUGGGUGCUUAGCUUGAGCUUAACCUAAGCUCUAGAACUCCCAAGAAGCUGGAGAUUAAAAUAUGAGCAUGUAGUAUUCCUGAACUGUGUGCUGCUUAGUUGUUCUGGCAGCAGUGUGAAAGGUAAGGGUUAGGGCUGAACACUGGUUUCAGAAUGUGAAGGAAACAUGUGAUGCUGUGUGCAGAGUGACUGCAAACAUUGCUGUGGUUUUGUCUCCUGUGGUGGGGCAGGCAUGUCACUAAGGGAGGAAAAUUUUAAAAAGGAAAACUAUAGCAUGAAGAUGUAUGGGGAUAAAACACAGUUCUUAAAAGACCACAUGGGCACCAAAAGCUAUGUGAAAUAUUUGAUUGUUCUAGCAAUAUUAACAGAGAGGAAAACAAAAAUUGUACUUAAUAGCUCUUACAAAAUAACUUGUAGCAUCUUGAGGCCUAGUGAUCAUCGCUGUAUAGAGCGAUCCAUUUCUGUGCUAUUUGUGUGCCACACCAUUGAUGUCUGUGAGGAUCAGGCACAGCAGUGUGGUUUGGGGAUACAAUUUUGCCGUAAGUUUCAUAGAACUGUAGCAGUAUGUUACACUAGAUUUUUAAGACAAAAGAAUUUAAAACUACUUAUUGUUACUUUUAAUGAUAAUAAAUUACUGUUAAAGAGA